rnacentral:lncRNA from 1 species
UGCCUGCUUGGUCUCUUUUAUCAGCAUUUAUAUUUGGUCUCUUAAUCGAGGGUUCCUUAACACUAAAAGUGUGGGGUAAUUAACAACAGAUUCUUGAGUCUGUUGGAAGCCAUGGAUCCGCAAUACCUGAUAACCAUACAUACACAUACUUUAAUCUACAUCAUGAAUACUACCCCACGGUAAAAAUCAAAAUUAGAUCAACUGU